AGGGAGUGAGAGAGUCUGACAGGGAGAGAGAGAGAGUGACAGGGAGAGAGAGAGUGAUAGGGAGAGAGAGAGAGUGUGACAGGGAGGGAGAGAGAGAGAGUGUGAUAGGGAGAGAGAGAGAUUGAUAGGGAGAGAGAGAGAGUGAUAGGGAGAGAGAGAGUGUGAUAGGGAGAGAGAGAGUGAUAGGGAGAGAGAGAGUGAUAGGGAGAGAGAGAGUGUGACAGGGAGAGAGAGAGUGUGACAGGGAGAGAGAGAGUGUGAUAGGGAGAGAGAGAGUGUGACAGGGAGAGAGAGAGUGUGACAGGGAGAGAGAGAGUGUGACAGGGAGAGAGAGAGUGUGACAGGGAGAGAGAGAGUGUGACAGGGAGAGAGAGAGUUGACAGGGGAGAGAGAGAGAGAGUGUGACAGGGAGAGAGAGAGAGUGUGAUAGGGAGAGAGAGAGAGAGAGUGUGACAGGGAGAGAGAGAGUGUGAGAGAGUGAGAGAGAGAGUGUGACAGGGAGAGAGAGAGAGUGUGACAGGGAGAGAGAGAGUGUGAGAGAGAGAGAGAGUGUGACAGGGAGAGAGAGAGUGUGACAGGGAGAGAGAGAGUGGGACAGGGAGAGAGAGAGAGUGGGACAGGGAGAGAGAGAGUGUGACAGGAGAGAGAGAGUGGGACAGGGAGAGAGAGAGUGGGACAGGGAGAGAGAGAGUGUGACAGGGGAGAGAGAGAGUGUGACAGGGAGAGAGAGAGAGUGUGACAGGGGGAGAGAGAGAGUGUGAUAGGGAGAGAGAGAGUGUGAUAGGGAGAGAGAGAGUGUGACAGGGAGAGAGACAGUGGGACAGGGAGAGAGAGAGUGUGAUAGGGAGAGAGAGAGUGUGAUAGGGAGAGAGAGAGUGUGACAGGGAGAGAGAGA
ensembl:lncRNA